GGUGACUAAAUUUUGUAAGUUACAAAUAUAGUUCGCCAAGACAGCAUAACGGUUUCUAAACAACUGCGCAUUAAUACCACAAUGUUGUAUUUUCAUGUGUCAAGUUCGCAACGCGCAUUAAUCCCAAAGGCUGAAAAGCCAGCAGCGAUGAGUGCUCCGCCUCCGCGCUGACUAGCGUUGACACAGAAAAUGACUCUCAGGGGGUUAUUGAUGGAGGAGCUCCUUAAAAAGUUGAUGGAAGAAGGCAUUGAUGUGUCAGACGACGAGGCGCAAAGGUUUAGAGAUAACGAUGUACAACAUUGAAGGUACAGUUGAAGGUCCAGUGUCCCAAGCAAACCAGAGUUCUAUACCUUCUUGCCUGCAGUUAUUUCCAUUCCAAAAUUCCCACAAGAUGUCCAGAGUCGCUUGGAUCUCAAAGAACCAGUCCAGAAAGAACAGAAGUACCGAAACAAAAUAAUUGGGACUCUUUAUGAAAUGCUGUCACAGUACACAAUGUACCCAACCCACUCAGACUACAUCCAGGUCAUCAAAGCCCUGAUUGUGAAGUAUCCUUUCUUAAGAGAUGUACACG